UUUUACUCGUCUCCAAGGCUCAGUGUGGGGAAGUGAGCACACACAGCGACCUGCCUGCUUGUGAGCUCUUCCUUGUUUUUCCCCUGGUCUAGCUCAAUGUGGCCUCUCCCUCUCUUCAGGUGAAAAGAGGGGCUGGGCCUGGUGCAGUGACAUCACUUCCUGGUUUGGAAACUCAGGGAAGAGGUGGAAAAAGGUGGUGACAUUAUGCUUUUCAGACAAUCGUUCUUGCAGGUGCCCUGAAGUGCCCAGCUUUCUCAUGUUUCUAGGCACAAAGAGCAGAGGAUAAUCUUCACCACGAGCCGGACACCAUGAGCCCAGGAAUGUGUCGCUUCAUAAACACACCUUUGUCCUACUGUAGACCAUUAUCCAACCGAGCCCCCUGGGGCAGGACGAGGGAAGACGUUCUAACAACAGCAUAACACAUGAUCUCAUCACAUCGCCCUGCUCCACCCUGCUCCCCAGAUUUAAUUAGGAAACUGGAAGGACGAGGUAUAAAGUCAAAGUAUAAAUAGUUUGUCACUGGGAACGCUGUGGAGACAACGCAGGGAUCUUAUUGGAUGGCGUGGCACCUGGCUCCAUGUCAGCCUGCAGGAUUUUGCCACCGCAGCAGGGAUGAGUGUUUGUGCCCCGAGGGCUGCAGCUCUGAGGUGGAAGCUGAAAGACAGUGUGGAGCCCAUCAAGGUGACAGUCCUCCCCUCAUGUAACGUGUAAAUGUAUUCUCUGGGGUAGCGUCACGCCCGCUCUUCAUUAGAAUGACAAAAGGAGCUUUUAUCAGUGUGCUAGUAACAUCGGCUUCUUUAGAUCUGCUUCACUGCUCUGAUUUAAAACAAGAUAAUAAAUCAGGACUGUCCAUUUUC